rnacentral:lncRNA from 1 species
CAUCAACUCAGAUUGAUAACCAAAUUGAUGAUAUCAAAAAUAAAAAUAAAAAUCUUAUGAUUUCAAAAUAAGUUGCCAUAUGAUCCAAAAAAAAAAUUUCUGAGAGAUUUAGUUUCUAAAAAUAUUUUAAAAGAGUUUCUUUUUCCAAUUUAUAGGGAAAACCGUAGUAACACAAAAUAUAUCUGAGCCCGAAUUAAUAGUAACU